UAAAGCAUUGUUUAAAGGUGGAUCAGUAGUCUACAUGUCAUUGCAUGUCAUUGCAUUCUCACUGUUACCUAUCAAAGUACUGAGGUAAAUAUUAUGAUUUUUUAUAUUAAUUUUCUUACUUUCUAAAAUUAUUAGUGUUUUUUUUCUGAGUUAUGAUUGAAAAAUAGUGAACUAGGGUAAAUUUUAUGAAUUAUGAUAUUAGUUUCUGAAAAUAUAUAAUUAGGGCAUCAUUAUGUCUUAUUGCCCCGGGCAACAUAUUUCUUUGGACCGGCCCUGGGUCCUUGCAUUGCAAUUGCCUAUUUAUCGGUUCUAAAGGACUGUGAGAUUCAUUGCUUUCUUGAAGGAUUGGAAGUCAAACGACUUGGUGGUCUCCAUGUCAUUGGGACAUCUUUGCAUGAGUCCCGAAGAAUUGAUAAUCAGCUUCGUGGCAGAGCAGGAAGGCAAGGAGAUCCUGGAUCAACACGCUUCAUGGUCAGGUAAGUUCAUUUAAAUGAUUUUUAUAAAGUUUAAAGUCAAUCCUUUCAUCUGGACAAAAUUCUUCAUGUUAAAUUACGUAAUAGUCCUUGGAGUAGUUGACAUGAACAAUUUUUUUUUUGUUAGAAUGAUUCCAUAUAUAUGUGCAAGCAAGCACAUGCCUUGUGAAAAAGGGAAAUCUAUUCUAGUCAUUCUCUUUAACAAGGCAACCUUAAAGUUGAUUUUUUAAACCUGAUGUUUAAAACUACAUUGAGUGUGAGAUAGAAGUUUAUGCAGAGAAGGAAAAAGAUAGAAGUUUUUGAGGAUGUUGCUGAUGAAAAAGAUAGAGGUUCUUUAGGAUGCUGCUAAUGAAGUUUAUGCAGAGAAGGAAAAAGAUAGAAGUUUGUUGGCACAUAGUAAGCUAGAUAAUUAAUGCAAUUGUAUAUAAAUGAGUUCAUUUUUUUUAUAACAUUUACUCACUAUUGGAAUAAUUAUUUGUAUUUGACAUAUUAGUGAAAUGAAUUAUAUUUGUUAUUUAUGGUA